rnacentral:rRNA from 1 species
GACGAACGCUGGCGGCGUGCCUAAUACAUGCAAGUAGAACGCUGAGGACUGGUGCUUGCACUGGUCUAAGGAGUUGCGAACGGGUGAGUAACGCGUGGGUAACCUGCCGUAUGCUGGGGGACAACAGUUAGAAAUGACUGCUAAUACCGCAUAAGCGCACAGUAUCGCAUGAUACAGUGUGAAAAACUGAGGUGGCAUACGAUGGACCCGCGUCUGAUUAGCUAGUUGGUGAGGUAACGGCUCACCAAGGCGACGAUCAGUAGCCGGCCUGAGAGGGUGAACGGCCACAUUGGGACUGAGACACGGCCCAA